GUUCAACAUAACAACAGUAUGUACAAUUUAAAAUGACUUAUUCCUAUAAGAAUAAGAUCUCCUGGUUAUUUGUGCUGUAAUGUUGAUGGUAUCAUUCAGAAAUGGCACGGAGCAGUCCCAGACUGAUUAAAAACAUAUAAUCCUGCUCACCCCACCAUUUCAACCAUCUAUAAGGAGACAUCUUUCAGGUGUGUUUGUUUGUGGAAGGGUUGCGUGUUAAUUCACCAAACAAGUCUUCUCUCUGUGUCUGUCUUUAUAUGAUUACCAGAGCCUGGAUACAAGUGAGUUCACUAAAGUGGAAUUUGGGCAUUUGUGUAUUUUCACAUUUGGGCCUGAACUCAAAACUAAAAUUUUUCACCAGAUUUACAAAAGUUUUACUGCCAUGAAAUUUAUUACCCUGAGACAUGUGUGUAAAAUAAUGUUUGUUUCUUUACUUGUUUAGGGGCAGUCACACCUUCCUGUCCUAUCUUUUCUCAGAUGCUGUACAAUUGUGAGGAAUAUGAUUCCUCUUGCCCUCUUCCUCCUGCUGUUGGUUUUUUGUAAAUGUGUUCUUAAAAAAAUGACACACUAUAUGCUAGUUUACCUGAUAAACAUUUACUGUAGUGUGUGUGUGUGUGUGUGUGUGUGUGUGUGUGUGUGUGUGUGUGUGUGUGUGUGUGUGUGUAAAAUAUCUGCUCUGCUGGAAACUUUUGUGUUGAUGCCACAUGUUGGUGUGUUGUGUGUGUUUCUGUGCAGUUUUCAUUUUAGGCUACAUGUGUGUUAAUAAAAAAAUGUCUCAGCAUGAAGAGCACUCACUGCAGCACUCUGAUACACAGAUGUAUGACAUUUUAUUUAAAGAGAUUGACUCAAUGAAAGAGAUCAUAAAACAUUACAGGCUUGAAAAUGAGGAUACAGUACACAGAGCUCUGAGUCAUCAAAGAGCUGAUGAUAUUGGAAUGGCUGACUAUGCGCUGGAGUCUUUAGGUGCAACUGUGCUAACGAGUUCAAAGUCCUAAAGUGCGGUGCAAGAAUAAAGGCCCUGAAACUGUUUUACAGCUGUGUAACACACACACAACUGUUGGGGAUUUAGAGGUUCUAAAAGGCACCUGGUCAUCUCUCUGCCCUACCCUACAAGAAUCACCCACGUUACGAUGCAGCAUCUGCCCCGAGUACUCUCUCCCAGCCACAACAUUAAGAGUGCACCAAAACACUUUGCAGUUUACGGACUGGAGGAAAACAGAAAUGAAGGAAAACAUCUUGGAACAUUCACCUAUGACCAGUAUGGAGAACCGAUCCAGACCUUCAAACUACCGGACUGUCCGAGUCGGUUGUUUCAGCUGGUGGAGCUGAGGAUCCUAAGUAAUUGGGGUCAUCAUGACUACACCUGUGUGUAUCGCUUCAGGAUCCACAGCCAGCCAAGCUGCAAGUAAAUGAAACUGAGCUUGGAAAUCAACUCAAAAACAGACAAUCAAGAAACGUUAAAUAAAAUAAUCCUUGUGUUGCA